GAUGAACGCUGACAGAAUGCUUAACACAUGCAAGUCAACUUGAAUUUGGGUUUUUAACUUAGGUUUGGGUGGCGGACGGGUGAGUAACGCGUAAAGAACUUGCCUCACAGCUAGGGACAACAUUUGGAAACGAAUGCUAAUACCUAAUAUUAUGAUAAUAGGGCAUCCUAUAAUUAUGAAAGCUAUAAGCGCUGUGAGAGAGCUUUGCGUCUCAUUAGCUAGUUGGAGAGGUAACGGCUCACCAAGGCGAUGAUGGGUAGCCGGCCUGAGAGGGUGAUCGGCCACAAGGGGACUGAGACACGGCCCUUACUCCUACGGGAGGCAGCAGUGGGGAAUAUUGGACAAUGGACCGAGAGUCUGAUCCAGCAAUUCUGUGUGCACGAUGAAGUUUUUCGGAAUGUAAAGUGCUUUCAGUUGGGAAGAAAAAAAUGACGGUACCAACAGAAGAAGUGACGGCUAAAUACGUGCCAGCAGCCGCGGUAAUACGUAUGUCACGAGCGUUAUCCGGAUUUAUUGGGCGUAAAGCGCGUCUAGGUGGUUAUAUAAGUCUGAUGUGAAAAUGCAGGGCUCAACUCUGUAUUGCGUUGGAAACUGUAUAACUAGAGUACUGGAGAGGUAAGCGGAACUACAAGUGUAGAGGUGAAAUUCGUAGAUAUUUGUAGGAAUGCCGAUGGGGAAGCCAGCUUACUGGACAGAUACUGACGCUGAAGCGCGAAAGCGUGGGUAGCAAACAGG
rnacentral:rRNA from 1 species